rnacentral:lncRNA from 1 species
AUCUACUGUAAACUUUAAUCAAAUUUGCUUGUUAAAUUUGCAAACUUGUUAAGAUUGAUACUGAGCCUAGCACUAGGCUAGUCGUUAAUGCUAAAGUUAAUACUAAAGUUUAGAAGAUGUCUGUUGUAUGGAGAAAGAAGCUUUGGCGCUGAACAUUGUCGUGAAAGAAGAAGAGGAGGAUAUUACAGUGAAAUAAGAGAAAGAAGAAGAGGAGGAUAUUUACAGUAAAAGGAGAGGAAGAAGAAGAGGAGGAUAUUACAGUAAAAGAAGAGGAGGAUAUUACAGUAAAAGGAGAGGAAGAAGAAGAGGAGGAUAUUACAGUAAAAGGAGAGAAAGAAGAAGAGGAGGAUAUUACAGUAAAAGAAGAGGAGGAUAUUACAGUAAAAGGAGAGGAAGAAGAAGAGGAGGAUAUUACAGUAAAAGGAGAGAAAGAAGAAGAGGAGGAUAUUACAGUAAAAGGAGAGGAAGAAGAAGAGGAGGAUAUUACAGUGAAAGGAGAGGAAGAAGAAGAGGAUAUUACAAUGAAAGGAGAGGAAGAAGAGGAGGAUAUUACAGUAAAAGGAGAGGAAGAAGAAGAGGAGGAUAUUACAGUAAAAGAAGAUGAGGAUAUUACAGUGAAAGGAGAGGAAGAAGAAGAGGAGGAUAUUACAGUAAAAGGAGAGAAAGAAGAAGAGGAGUAUAUUACAGUAAAAUAAGAGGAAGAAGAAGAGGAUAUUACAGUGAAAGGAGAGGAAGAAGCUCUGGGGCUGAACAUUGUCGUGAAAGAAGAAGAGGAUAUUACAGUAAAAGGAGAGGAAGAAGAAGAGGAUAUUACAGUGAAAGGAGAGGAAGAAGCUCUGGGGCUGAACAUUGUCGUGAAAGAAGAAGAGGAUAUUACAGUAAAAGGAGAGAAAGAAGAAGAGGAGUAUAUUACAGUAAAAUAAGAGGAAGAAGAAGAGGAUAUUACAGUGAAAGGAGAGGAAGAAGCUCUGGGGCUGAACAUUGUCGUGAAAGAAGAAGAGGAUAUUACAGUAAAAGGAGAGGAAGAAGAAGAGGAUAUUACAGUGAAAGGAGAGGAAGAAGCUCUGGGGCUGAACAUUGUCGUGAAAGAAGAAGAGGAUAUUACAGUAAAAGGAGAGAAAGAAGAAGAGGAGUAUAUUACAGUAAAAUAAGAGGAAGAAGAAGAGGAUAUUACAGUGAAAGGAGACAAAGAAGCUUUCAGAAUGAAAGAGGAGGAAGAGGAGGAUAUCACACUGAAAGAAGAGGAGGAGGGUGCAACUGUGAAAGAAGAGAAAAAAACCUAUUGUAGAGGAAGAGGGGAUAGAGGCUGUCACAGUGGUAGAGGAAGAAGCUUUCAGAAUGAAAGAGGAGGAUGCUAUCUCAACAAAGGUGAAGGAGGAAGACGUUUUGGGAGUGAAAGAUGAGGAGGACGAAGGAGAGGAAGAGGAGGAUACUGAAGAUCUGAUUAACACCAAAGAGAGACCAGACACUCACUCUGACAGCUGGAAGAGGCCUUCAGAGGGAACCAGACCCAGAGACGUCCAAACCAGCAAUACCACACCACUGCUCCCAGUGUGGAAAGAGCUUUAUCCGGUUAGGACACCUGAAAGAACAUAAGAAAACACACACGGGGAGAAGCCUUACCACUGUUUCCAGUGUGGAAAGGGGUUUGUACAGUCAGGGCAUCUAAAUGUGCAUGAAAGAAGACACACAUGAGAGAAGCCAUAUCAAUGCUCCCAGUGUGAAAAUAAAUGUUUUUCAUCAGGGGAGCUGAAGUCACAUGAGAGAACACACAAACACUCUUUAGAGAGGCCUUUCCAAUGCUCCCAGUGUGGAAAGAGAUUUAUCCCAGUCAUCGCAUCUGAAAGAGCACACAAGAAUACACACAGGAGAGAAGCCUUUCCAAUGAUCUCAGUGUGGAAAGUGUUUUAGAUACUCAGGACAUCUGAAAUUGCAUGAAAGAACACACACUGGGGAGAAGCCCUACCGUUGCUCUGACUGUGGAAGG